UAUCUUCGUCGUCCUCUUCCUAGCCCUCUUCAUUUAUACACUACCUGGGAACAUGCUGAAUGCUAUCAUGAAUGCUAUCAUCUGAUUGGCCAGUUCUCAUCGCAUUCGCUCUCUCUUGCCCAAUCAGAAUCAAAUAUGCCAAACAGCACCUCUGACUCAUCAAAUAAGCCCUAUUGGGCUGAAAUCAACCUGUAUCAUUUAAUUGCAAGCCUUCAUGAACUGGCUGUUCAGCUGAUCAACAGACCCCUUAGACGAACAUUUUGGAUUUAUGAAGUGCUCAUUUUACUAUAACUAAAG